GAUGAACGCUGGCGGCGUGCCUAACACAUGCAAGUCGAACGGAGUCGUUUUGGAAAUCUCUUCGGAGAUGGAAUUCUCGACUUAGUGGCGGACGGGUGAGUAACGCGUGAGCAAUCUGCCUUUAAGAGGGGGAUAACAGUCGGAAACGGCUGCUAAUACCGCAUAAAGCAUUAAAUUCGCAUGUUUUUGAUGCCAAAGGAGCAAUCCGCUUUUAGAUGAGCUCGCGUCUGAUUAGCUGGUUGGCGGGGUAACGGCCCACCAAGGCGACGAUCAGUAGCCGGACUGAGAGGUUGAACGGCCACAUUGGGACUGAGACACGGCCCAGACUCCUACGGGAGGCAGCAGUGGGGAAUAUUGCGCAAUGGGGGAAACCCUGACGCAGCAACGCCGCGUGAUUGAAGAAGGCCUUCGGGUUGUAAAGAUCUUUAAUCAGGGACGAAGUAAAUGACGGUAC
rnacentral:rRNA from 1 species